UAAUAAUAAGAACAUAUGGUGAAUGUAAAUUGAAUCAUUGUUGACAAACUAGUGUUUCCUAGGAUAUAAAGGAGUUGUGGAUAUUUUUCAGUGAAAAUAGUUUUAAAUUUAUAAAUCUUCAAAGACCAUCAGUGCCUAAUACCAUCAUCUGCAAUGGGUGCUUGUUUUGGGAAGAAACCCCCUGCGGAGGAAAGUAAUGGUGAUCAACAUGAAGGUGGAGAACAAGAUCAAAUGUGUGCCGCAAAAGUCAACAUCCGCCCGACUCGAGUGGCGACACCGUACCUAACUUGGUGGCGGUGGAUGCAGAUCAUGACUCCGCAGUUGCAGCCAAACUGUUCCUCAGCCUCCUAGAAAUUCCAGCCAUGAAAUUAAUGCAGACACAGUUAAAUUAUUGUUAAUCAAUUGCUGAGUGAGAUUAAUGCCUGUUAUUAAAAAUUAUCGUCUCAAA